ensembl:snRNA U6 U6 spliceosomal RNA
ACAUAUUUUACAUAUGUAAAAAAUUGCAACAAUACAGAUAUUGUUAGCCUGGCCCCUGCCCAAAGAUAACAUAAAAGCUCACGAAGUGUUCUGUUUUAAA